rnacentral:rRNA from 1 species
CUGGCGGCGUGCCUAACACAUGCAAGUCGAACGGUAACAGGUCUUCGGAUGCUGACGAGUGGCGCACGGGUGAGUAACGCGUGGAUAUCUGCCUAUUAGUGGGGGACAACUUUCGGAAACGGAAGCUAAUACCGCAUAAUCUCUACGGAGGAAAGCAGGGGACCUUUCGGGGCCUUGUGCUGAUAGAUGAGUCCGCGUCUGAUUAGCUAGUUGGUAGGGUAAAGGCCUACCAAGGCGAUGAUCAGUAUCUGGUUUGAGAGGAUGAUCAGACACACUGGAACUGAGACACGGUCCAGACUUCUACGGAAGGCAGCAGUGGGGAAUAUUGCACAAUGGGGGAAACCCUGAUGCAGCGACGCCGCGUGUGGGAAGAAGGCUUUAGGGUUGUAAACCACUUUCAAUUGGGAAGAAGAGAUGAGUACUAAUAUUAUUCUGAUUUGACGGUACCUUUAGAAGAAGCACCGGCUAAUUUCGUGCCAGCAGCCGCGGUAAUACGAAAGGUGCAAGCGUUGUUCGGAUUUACUGGGCGUAAAGCGAGUGUAGGUUGUUUAUUAAGUCGGAUGUGAAAUCCCAGGGCUCAACCCUGGAACUGCAUUCGAUACUGAUAGGCUAGAGUUCGGGAGGGGUAAGCGGAAUUCCGUGUGUAGCAGUGAAAUGCGUAGAUAUACGGAGGAACACCUGAGGCGAAGGCGGCUUACUGGACCGAUACUGACACUGAGACUCGAAAGCGUGGGUAGCAAACAGGAUUAGAUACCCUGGUAGUCCACGCCCUAAACGAUGUCAACUAGCCGUUGCGGGUAUCGACCCCUGCAGUGGCGAAGCUAACGCGAUAAGUUGACCGCCUGGGGAGUACGGU